rnacentral:lncRNA from 1 species
GCUGUGUUUUCUAGGUCACAGAGCUAAGAGCAGAAUCUAGUGUGAGUGAUCCCGCCUACACUUUUUUCCUUCAGUGUCUUUCCUCAGCUGCGGUCAGGUCAGUUUGAAGCAUAUGGGAGAGGGGGUCAGAAUGGUAGUGAUGUGAAGCAAAGCGUCAGCACGGAAAACUCAUUUGUUCAUUCAUUCAUUUAAGAACAUGCAUUGGGCACUGAUUCUUCCAGGCUCUGUGCCAGGGAAAAUCAAACUGCACGAGACGCUGUACUUGUCCUCUGGGAGGGCACUCACUGCCUAGUCUCAGAGACACAGAAAGCUGGGAGAAUUCUAAAUCCAAGUGGGGGACAACCUCAUAAAUUUGUCUCAGUUGAAUAAGGAGAAACAAUUCCUGUCCCAGGGGAGACCCUCUCUGGUGGCAAGUAUGUAGUGAUGCUGUUUUUUUUAUUAAGAAUUUGUAAUUUAAUUAAAAUUUCAGCAUCACGGUAUAGUUGAUUUACAAUAGUGUAUAAGUGUCAGGUGUGCAACACAGUGAUUCACAGUUCUUAGUGAAUAUACAGUUCUCAUCCCAGGAAGCCCCACCCCCACCCCUCUGAUGAGGGGGACUCAGCAAGUCCCAGUCAGUUAGUGGGCACGGUCCUUGGUUGCAGGGAAUUCCCAGGCUUCCUGGGAGUCUUUGGGAGAAGAUUCAGUCUGGUGGGGGACAUACAGAGCCCAUCCUCAGGGAGCUCCUAGCCUGGGGCGGGGGAGGGAGACCAAAUACAGCCCCUCUGUGCAGACAGGGAAGAGCCGCCGAAGAUGCACAGAGUGGAACAAACACCCACUUCCACUCAAGUGAGACAGCAAGUCCAUGGAUCUUUCUGAAAAACAAGGACGAAGGGGCGGGGGAGUUGCGGACAAGGGGGAGAGGGGAAGGAAACUUCCUCCCUCCCUCCUCUUCCCUCCUCCCUCCAGAAGGGCAUUUCUGGAAGUCUCCAGCGGGCCUGGGACCUGAGCAGCUGCUCUGCGUGUCCAAGCCUGCCAGCCCCUCAGCUGUCACUCUGCUCCCAAAAUAGCAGGCGUGGGGGGAGGGGAGAGGAGGUUGUUUAUCUGGGAAGGAGGUGGAGAAGGGGGCGUCCGAGCUGUGCCUAGGUAGCGGGGGUCUGCUGGGGGUGCUCCUGUCCCUCUGGAUCUUUCUAUCAUUCUUUGGGGAGUUAGGAGCCCCUGUGCCCCCAGGACUGGCCCUGAGUGGGGUGCGGGCACAGAGGUUCAUUGGAACCUCCACGUGGUAAUGACUGUCCAGUCUGGGGAGGGGGAGGUCCCGGAGUAUCAAUGACAGAUGCCAGGGGCACCUGCCCCUGUGGCCA